UCGAAAAAACUUUAUUGCAACUGCGAUUCAUACACUAUUUUUCAGUGCUAUUUGCACAUUCACAAUUGGAAAGUUUUGACAACCUUUUAGCAAAUUAAUGAGAAUUAAAAUAAAAGAAACAACGAAAAAUUAAAUUUGAGCGCGAUGAAAUGUUGAGACUUUUCGUGAAAAAAAGAAGCAACGCGACUUGAGUAAGAGUGUUCACUUCGUUCAUUGACCUUUGAAAAUGAGCUGAAGAAGGACGCCUACUCUAUCCAAUUCCGCCGCAUUUGAAUCGACCACGUAAGAUUGAAAAGAGGCGGACCGAAAAAAAAUUCGAACUCGCUGUCAUUUUCCCUUCCAUUUUGGAACAAUGAAAAUCAAUAUUUAUUUGUAUUUUGCGUUCGCGUGAAGCAGGUGUUGUUGAUGGAUUAUUUGUAGAUCUAUUUUAACUCAAAAUAUUACGCCCGAGGAACUUUACGACAGGUCUUGUGAGUGCGUGAACUUUAAAAUUUGCACAAUGCGAACUUCUAUAGAGCAAUGACCCUUCCUUCUCUCAUAUCUUAAGUACUCCGCCCACCUGCAAACAAUAAUGGGGGAAAAGAGAGGGAAAAGUGUUUGUUGUGAUGGAGUCCCUUUUGGAAUGAGAUCGAAAAUUAUCAAAAUCAACAAUUCCGCCUAUCAUUCAGAGGAUGGAUUAGAAGCCUAAUUAAAAUACUUUUUCCAAAUAUCUUUCACAGAGGAAGUUCUGGUCAUUGCUGAAUUAGUAACACAGUAGCAGGUUGCGCAACUCAAAUAUCAUGCUGUAAGCUUGUAAUUAAAAUGUCAAGGACCUAUCUUAUCUGAAAAAAAAAACAAAUUAUGAGAAUUUACAAGUGAUCGAAAAUCGAUUAAAUAUUAUUUCUCAGGUGAACUUUAUGAUUAUAACUUUAUCUAUAAACAACGUGUAUGUUCCAUUAUCUCUCAUUGAUCGGCAAUUAAUUGAACUUAAAAUACAAGCUAGACUGGAGAAAGCGAAGCGGAAAACAUAAAGGCAACCAGACGAACAUUUGAGUAGGAGACCUUUCAGAGCUAACAACUGGCUCCAAGCCACGUCACUUUUCCAUCACACGUGCC